rnacentral:rRNA from 1 species
GGGGUUAAGGGGAGACUGGAAUUCCUGGUGUAGCGGUGAAAUGCGCAGAUAUCAGGAGGAACACCGGUGGCGAAGGCGGGUCUCUGGGCCGAUACUGACGCUGAGGAGCGAAAGCGUGGGGAGCGAACAGGAUUAGAUACCCUGGUAGUCCACGCUGUAAACGUUGGGCGCUAGGUGUGGGGGGCCUCUCCGGUUCUCUGUGCCGCAGCUAACGCAUUAAGCGCCCCGCCUGGGGAGUACGGCCGCAAGGCUAAAACUCAAAGGAAUUGACGGGGGCCCGCACAAGCGGCGGAGCAUGCGGAUUAAUUCGAUGCAACGCGAAGAACCUUACCUGGGUUUGACAUGGCCGCAAAACCUGCAGAGAUGUGGGGUCCUUCGGGGGCGGUCACAGGUGGUGCAU